rnacentral:lncRNA from 1 species
GCCGGGCCGGUUUUCUUUUUUUCUUUCUCUGAUUUCUUUCAUAUCUUUUGAUUUUGAACUCCAAAUUGAUCCAAAUAAAUUCCAUAAAAUUUGUAAAAUUGUAAUAUAAUAUGAUUCAACUUUUCGGACUAAUCUCCCUUCCAAAUAAAAUAUAGAAAAAUAUAUUUGCCCUAUAAAUGCCUUUAGGGCUUUAUAACUAUUUAAAUAAAAUAGUUUUUCAACUCCAAAUUAAAUAUUGAAAAUUAUGGGAUAGCUCAUAU